UUGUGGAGGUUACAACCUAGUCAGGCAAAGAGGCUUUCUUUAAACAAAAUAUUACACAGAGAAAUAAUCAAUCAGAACUGUGCUCAGUGGCAAGGAGAAUUGAAGUGCUCUACAAGUCUUCUGGAUGGUUCUCUCCUGAACUCUAUGGCAAUCCAAGGCUGUGGGUUUCUGUGUAGGGUAAAUACAUAGAGCUGACUGAAUUCUUGAAGCUAACAUUUUAAAGGAGUCAAGAUCAAGGAGCCAUUUCUUUCCAAAUGGAUUAAUGAAAUGCCAAACAUAUUCCUGGAUCUCCAGAUUCUCGGACUGUAAGAAACAGCUGACCUACUUUGAGGACUACUGUCAAAAUGAUUGUGCUGGUGAAACGAUUUACAAGGUGCCCAAGGAGCCUUUGAGGUUCUGAUGGACUGGGGCAAAGCCCAUCUAGAUCAGAGCUCUGGAAAGAUCGACAGCUCUGGGAGGAAAUCGCCCUAAGCGAGGAAGGAGUGUGAAUGUGCGACCUAGUCAGCACCAGGGCCAAGACUGUUGGCAAGUGAAUCCCUUUUGGGUAUAGUCUCUGGCUGAUGCUAGAAACUCUGUUCCAGGAUGUGGUCCACAUUGGAUGUGGCACUCCUAGGAUUUGCCCAUGAGGCAUCCAGGAUUACUUGGAUUAUUAAAAAAUGCUGCCCUCACAUGUGUACAGCACUUUACAGUUUGGCUGGGGCCAGGGAUGUUUGGUAAAGGAGUGUGGCAGCUCCCUCUGCAACAUCAAAAGUCACGAACACCUCCAAACACCUCCAACCUCUCUUCAACAACCGUACGACUGAUGCCAGGAAGAUGCCUGCGUGUGUCCUGUGACUGUGGAGUCCCUGGAACAUUGUGGCUUGCUCCUGUGGGUACAGGGAGUGUCCCAGUCGGAGGGCAAUGGAGUCCUGCAGCUGCUCUUGCUUCUCGAGACUGAGCACGGAUUAUGAGAACCAGCCUGGGACUAACCAUAACAACUCUUACCUCAAAGUGAUUAAUAUGUCACAAAAUGGAUGAGCUGGACAUCUGGCUUCUAAUGGUUUUUCUGAUGGAGGCAAUAUGAUCAGCGAACAAGACAGAAAGGAAUGCAAGAGGAUGGAGAGAGAACUGCAAAGAACCUGAUUUUCUCAUUACUGAGUAGUCUACUUGUGAGCAUCUGAAGGUCUGCCCAUAUGGAUCUUGCAACCAUUAAAAGAAUAGAAAAAAAAGAAAAGAAUUGUGCUUUAUUAUUACUAUAUAUGGACCAUUUAUUGAAUAUAAGUUAGCCACGUGAAAGAGAUUAUUUUAAUCCUCACCAUAAGCCUGCAAGCUGACAACUCUUCUUCGAGUUAAGCAGCAUGUUAUCCAGAUGAGGAAGCCACGGCUCAGAAAGGGUAUCUCGACAGGGACACAAGCACGCGCUGACAACAUGAUCAAUAGCUACAAGCAAGACCAACAGGUGGUCUGGUCAGAAUCCCUCCAGUGGAUGGGGAUAUGGAGCCAGAGAGCAGAUCCUCAAGAUCUGGAGAUACAAAGAGGAGGAUGGUUGAGCCUCAGCUAACCAAGCAGUCUGAGGUUCAUUCGUUCAUUUAUUCACUUAACAAACAUCUAUUGAAGACCCACUUUGUGCCAGAUAUGGUGCUUCAUAGUUACAGAUGAUGACGCUAAGAAAAUAAUGAUGAUGAAAUCAUUUGGAAGUUGCAGGCAAGGAUGGAAAACUUAUUUGGAUUCAAAACAAAAGUGUCAUUUAGAAUUGGAAAGCAACUAUGUAUGCAUACAGGCUAAUGCAUUUUGGAAGCAAGAAACUGAAAAUGCCAAAAUAUCACCAUCUCUUCAGAGUUAUGUUGAACUCAAAGAAGAUGAUUGUUAUUUCCAAAUGGCACCACCGCCCACAAUUACUUUGGCAGGAAGUAUAAGAUCCCACUGGAGGCAGUGGACUUCACCUCCCACCAGGAAAAUCUGGAGACUCUCUCUCUACCUUGAUCUCUGUUCUGGAAGGCUGAGAAGCAGGGUCAAUAUCAACAGGCUCCUUUGCCCUUUGCCUGGCUAGACUACUCCAUCACAUCACAGCUCCCGGCAGACGGCCCUCUCUACACGGCUUUCUUUCACCUGGUCUAGCCUUGAGAGCAACAAGGAAGGUCUGUGUGGCCAAGUCUGCAAUCAAGAAAUGGCUGCUGGAAGAGGCAUCUCUGACCCAACCCAGGAAGGCCAUCACUGCCUCCAAAGAGUACCAUCGUGCAAAUUAGCAAAAUCCCCUUGUGUUUUGCAGCACUGGGCAUUGUUAUCAUUUUGGAGGAGGGCCAUGAUGAAACUACAUACUUUUUUGUUUGCGUAUCAUGUAACUAGUUAGAUUUAAAAUUUUUAUUUUAUACCAAAUUGUGGAAUUAUUUUCAAUCAUUGUUGGAAUUGAAAUAUUCAUGCAACCUCUUCAUAGAGCUAGUCACUUCAGAUGUGGAACACAGAGAGAGGCAUUUUGAGAUGAAACUAUAAGUGAAUAAACUUAAAAAUAUAUAAAUAAAAUGGUUUAAUAUCACCUCCCUAGGAUCUGUGGUACAAAGAAAGAGAAGCAUUCCAUAUUGCCUGACCCCCACGAAGUUCCUUGGUUUUCGUCCCCUGCCUUUCCCACUUAUAAGUUCACAUGGCUGCUUGUGCUCCUUCACAAAAUAUCCCCAUUAGGUCUCCUCUCCCAGAGGAACUUGCUUCCUGACCAUGAGAGCAGCAAGUGUCAUCAAACACUGUGAGGCUAGAUCUUCGGCCUUCCUUAGGCUGCUGCAACUUAAUGUUGAAAACUUAAUAUUUUCUAGCUAGAAGUCUCCUGUUUUUGUGCACUCUUGCAUGCAGUUUGCAUAUUAAUGUUAUAUACAUAGUGAUAUAUAUAGUAUACAAAUAUAUAAAAUCAUUUAUAUAAAAUCUGAACUAACAUGAACAUGUUUUCAGGAAUAACUACAAAUUUUGUUUGACCUAUGACCAUGCGUCCUAUUUGUCCCCCCCUUUUGGAGAUUUAAAUAUAUUUCAGCUGAGUAAUGUUGAUUUGCAAAACAACGUGGGGAUUUCUGGCACGUUUUGAUGAGAAGAACUGGACAAAAUAUUUGGAAUUUUAACUUUAUCUAAAGACCCAGGUAGAAGUUUGCUAUGCCUCUUGUACAAAACGCUCAGCGUUAUUUUGUAAUCAGAGGAGAGGCUGUCCACAUUCUCUUGCCCAUACCAAGCCAAUUAUUUAUGGCAUUUUUCUAGAAUGAUAAAAGAGAACCAGGGCAUGAAAUGUCAAAGAAAUGCUAGAAAGGAAUUAGAAGUAACCCUUAAGUAUUGCAUAUUACCUAUUCUUAGCAACAUUGAGUGAUGUCGACCUUUGAUAGGGAUGAAUGUGUGCUUGUGUGUGUGCAUUAUUCCAAAUGGACUGUAAGUUCAACUUGCAAAGACUGAUAACAAAAUUAUAACUGUCCAACAGAAAUGAUCGGAAAUUCAUGAAGCUAGAUCAAAAGCCUCCCCCAGCUCCAAAUGAGCAGUAACUGGAAUGACUUACAUUAUGGAACCUUCCCAACUGCAGCUUAAAUCAUUUAAGACUUGUUUGGUAUGGCACCUGCUGCUCACUUAUUUUUAGGAGAGAAAAUGUGCAUUCUUGAGCAUAAGGACCUGAAAGAUUUUUAUACCAAAGGAAAAGCCUAAAUGUGCCAAAAUUUUGAGAGCUGAAUUUUUAGAAGGGCAGCUUAAUUUGCUACUCUUCCUUGGGUUUAAGGGGCUGAGAUCACAGCGAAAGAGCUGCCAGAAUCAUGACCCUGCCAAGUCCUUCCUCUAGCAGCCUUAGUGGGAGGCCAUUGUGAAGGCUGCUUCAAGCUUUUGAUCACUUGAGCUGCAGACAUCAUUACAGCAGGCAGAAGGAUGAGCUUAAGGAAAGAAGGGAAGAAACUGGAAUUCCAAAUAUUUGCUUAGUUUUCAAGGGAGCUUCAAUCCUCAUGAUCCUUUAGGGUGACCUUUACACUUCAGAAAUGAGAAACCCUGACCUAAUUACUUUCUAAGCUCACUGGAACUGUCACAACUCAUGUAAUACUCUGCUGCCUUUACAAAAAUAAGGGUUAGAGGAGAUUCGGAAGCUUUAUCUACAUGUGAGAGGUUAAAAGGGAAAUGAGGGCAUCCAUCUCUACCCUUCAUGCCACCUAUGAGAUUAGCUUUGGUACACACCUGCAAUGUCUAAUGAGGUCGCCAAUGGCCACAUGUGACUAUACAAAUUUAAGUUAAUUAAAAUUAGAUAUAAUUAAACAUUUAAUUCCUCAGUCACACUAGCCACAUUUCACCAGCCCCACGUGGCCCUUGUGUUAGGCAUUGCAGAUAUAGAAUGUUUUCCUCAUCGCAGAAAGUCCUUUUGGACAGCAGUGCAUAGAUUUCUCCCCUACAAGAAAGGACUCUCUUUAAGAGAAAAAGAUUUGGGCAAUGUAUUUAAGAUUCCCAAUUUUUAAAAAAUAAUUAAUUAAAAAACUGUAUGUUUGUAUGAGCUAGUUUCUUCUAACUAAAUUGACGUGUAUUCAAGUUUUGUUUCAAGUUUUUGGAGCUUCUCGCCUACGUAUCAAAUAAUUUUCCUGUUGAUCCCUAUCACUGAUUUUCUGCAGUUUACCCUCUGAGCUGUGUUCCUUCCCACCUCCUCGCUCACACUGGUGGAACUUCUACAUAGAAAAGUCUUUCCUUCCCUUUGCUGCGUGCCUCAAACCCAUCGUUCCUUGAAGGGCUCAUUUAUGUUCCAUCUCCCCGUGAAGACUUGUCACACCACGGCAGCUCACGAUCCUUAAUUUUUUCCUUGUCAUGUCUUUAUGUUGCUUUAAUGCCACAUCGUCAAGGAGGCAUCCCUUCUUCUCCAUUUACCAUCUUCCCCAAAAGUGCUUUGCAGAGGCAUCAGUGGGGUUCCACUGACUCUCAAGACAUUUCUGUUGGCUGUGCCAUAAACUGGUAAGUCCCAGACCUGUGUUCAGUAUCUGAGCACUUAGCAUGCACUUUCUCUUCUUGGGAGCUAUUUAUUUAUUUAUAUUUUUGGUGAGGAAGAUUGGC